UAUAAUAAAGUCUUCAGGCAGUCCCCAGUUCAUGUCUUUUGUUUACUCCACCCUCUGGCUGCUGGUUCUCAGCUAUAGCUGCAUUGAAGGGGCUUGGACACAAACAAAGAAUCCAGAAAACUGAUUCAGAUACAUUGGAAUAUUUUUUUCUCCUUGGAAAUUUUUUUGCUUCUCGUUAGAAUUUGUUGAUAAACCCUGCAGUCCUGCACAUGGGGAUGGAAAACGGAGUGGAUGCACAAAGAUAAUGUGUAAGUAAAGGCUGGAACUGCUGCAUCCAUUUUGCCACCAUGAGGAAGCCAGGCUGCUGCUGUAUGAAAAGCAUAACAGGAAGCUUGAAAGAAACUAGCGCUGGAUGACAUUGGUGAGCCCUUAAAUCAACCCAACCCAGAAGACCUUCUAGGUGAAAUGAAAGGGAAGGAGACAUUCAGCAUCAAGUCUCAAUGUGUGGUGUGAAACAAACACACCCAGCCCCACAGAGGCAUCUUCCCUGGGGCAAUCUCAGAGUUUGCUCAUGGGAGGGGCAAAACCAGAGGAGAAAUGACAGCAGGUGUUCUUGCAUUGCCAUUCUUGUCCAGGCUGAUCUGCUCCCCAGACAGAGACAGUGCCAUUUCCAGGAUUGCCAGGCCAACCCUCCUCUUUCUGGAUCAAUCACAUCCCACUCAAUAAGGUAUUAAUCCUGUGGAGCUUUCUGUACUGCAACGUACCUCCCAGUAAAUGGGCUUGGGCUUAAUCAUUCAGCAGAGAUGAGGAUGCAGGUAGUACCUAUAUCAAACAGCCUUGAGAAAGACGACGUGCAGGUACUAAGGAGAGAGGCAAUUCCCCUGUAAGAGUCCCCUUUGCUAAUUCACCAGUGUUUCUCAGCCCCAGGAAGCCAAGUGGCAUUGUAGUUAACAUAACCUUGGUCUUUUGGCAGACAAGAGUUGGGGUUCCUCUUUUACCCAAUAGCAGAAGUCUUCUGGUCUGAGGCUUACUCUAAUGAUGCUCCUUUUUCCCAUGAAUGAAAUGGGAAAAUAAGAUCUUGCGGUGUUGUGGGAGGAUCUUAAAGAUUAAGUGCUUGGAAAACUCUCAGCACACUGCCUGACGUGUAGAAAGUAUGCUGAAAAUGUUAAAUUGUGUCUACCAGAAAUCCCUUCAGGGACCCCCCAAUUUGAUCCCUAGAAAAACCUUGACCUGAACUAGAAGCUGAGAUCCUGAAUGGAUCCUGAAUGGGAGUAGCCCUGUUUUACAUGAUGUAAGAGGAAAGUUUCACCUGUUUCCCCACACGGGCGGGAGAGAGAAAGGAAAGAGAAGACAGCUGCAUGGAUGAAGACCUUGCGCAGUGCAGUGACCUCUCCUCAGCGAGCCCCACCAGAUCUUCAGGAAAGUCAAUGAACUCAUGAUAUCUUGGUCCAAAUGCAGGCGGGGGGGUGGUUAAGGCAGUGAACUUCACACCCAUGCUGAUGUGUGUUGGAGCCAAAGUCACAACUGUGAAAGCAGGAAGUGGACACAGACAGAAGUUUGAGGCACAAAGCUCCAGGGACUCUCAGGAACAGGGGAAAGUCUUUGAACCUCCCUGCCACCGAGACCAUACAAUAGGAAUACAAAUAGGAAUUUAGGCUAAGUCCAAUUGGAUCUCAAAAAAGCAGGUGGCUUCAACUGACAACAGGGUACAUCAUUAUUAUCAUCAUGAUCAUCACCAUCACUGCCAUCACCAACAUCAUCAAAUGAUGUUGUCUGCCUAUGGAAUGCAAAAAGCUGAUUUUCGGCAACCAAAGCUAGGGCCCUGGAAGCUAACACAUUCUUAACCAGGGCUGCAUUACCUAAGAACUUCUGUUUUUUCACUCACCUGAUUGUGGAAAUAUCAAACUACCUCUACGCUCACUAUUCCCCAUCAGUGAGUGUCUGUAAGUUAUCCCUUGCCUUUUCCUACUCUUGCCAGCCAUUUUUCAGUCCAGCAGCAAUGGCUUUUCCUGGGUCUGGAAGUCUCCUGGUCUCCCACUUAGGUGACUCACUAUUCCGAAGCCACUUUUCUGCACUGCAGUAAGCCCCCAGUUACAAAUUACUUACCUGCUGGCCAUCAUUUUAAUGUAAAUGGAUUUUAAAAAGCAGCAAAGGAAUAUAUUUUCAUUUGGAGUUAAAGCAUCCAUUUUUUAUUUGAGUGUGAGCCUGGUCUAGGAGAGAUGGCAGAAGAAUGGCUCCAAGGCUAAUAUGGUUAAUGAUUAUGAUGGAGAUCCCAUGAGCAGCCGAUAUUUCACUUGCAACCAUCUCGAUCCGGGCUUUGCUGGCUGCAGUACUUUCUUUUUUUCACAGCUACUUCCAUUAACACCCACCGCCUAUGAUAGAACCAUUAUGAUAAUAUCUCUGCUUUCGGCAGCCUCAAUUGGUCUUGACACAUUAUCACCCUAAGAGCUUAGCCACGUCGCACUAAGUCCUAUUUAUAAUAACCCUUGGCAGGAGCUACCAAAAUAAAACCUGGUACUUAUGAACUACCUUUCAUCUGAGGAAAUCAGAAAGCUUUACAAGCUUAAUUAAGCUUCAGCAUCUAUCUGACUGAUGAGAUAUGUGGGGCCUUGGAAAGCUGAGGAGGCACAGAAUCACUAAUUGUGCACUGGAUAAAUCUCUGGGUGGCAACGAAGAAUAGAAAUCAACAAAGAAGAACGAGAGUCACCUCUUUUAGUGGGAGUGUUUGUUGAGUGAAUUUUUUCAGGGUGGGUUGAGACCAACAAUCAUAGGUUAUUGAUGAAGGGGCCAUGGAGGGUCUCUAAUGAGGUGGCUCUCAAUCUAGGGCGGGGGCCUGAGAUUUACUUCUUUUGCCAAAAGAGGAUUAAGCUAAUUCAACACACUCAAGGGCUUUCAAGGACAAAGAAAUUGAGCUCCUGAAAGAUGUGGUAAUCUGCCUGUGGGCACACAGCUGUUGAGCUCACACACUGUUCCCUCUACUUGGCUGAAUCUCCCACCCCACCUGUAAAUCUCCACUUCCCCUUCAAGACUCAUCUUAACACCUGCCUCCUCGGUGAAGCCUUCCUGGACUUCCCUGGCAGAAUCAGUCACUCCCUAUUCUAUGCUCCUGCGUGUGCUUUCUAUUUCCAUAAUAUCUACAGCAAUUGAUAUUUAUUGAGUCCUUUCUAAGUGCUUAAGGUACAUUUUAUCCAUACAAUAAUGAGGCAGGUACAGUUACCAUCUCCAUUCUACAGAUGAGUUAAGUGGUCCGGAGAGGCUAAGUGAUUUUCCCAAGAUGGUACAGCUCAUAGGUGCAAGACUCAGCCUGGCUGCAGAGCACAUGUUCCAAAACAUUAAACCACACUACUUUCCCAGUAGCCCAGUUGUGAUGGAAGAGAUCUGUUUGUUUAUAAGUCAGCCUCCUUCCUUAGUUUGUAAGCUCUGAUGUGAAAGGGUAUGUCAUUCAGGAGAAUUUGGGCUGCAAACAACAGAAACCCCAACUCAGAGUAGCUUAAACCACAGGAAAUCUAGAGGAAGGGCAUUUCCAGAGUUGAUUAACUUGGGGGCUUGGUGACAUCAGCAAGGAUCCAGGUUCCUUCCAUCUCUCUACUCUGCCUUCCUGAUUGUGUGAACGUAGUUCCCCUUGCAUUAACAUGACUUCCUCAGUUCCAGGCCUCCCAUCCAGCCUGAACCAUGCAGAAAAGGUGCCAUAUCUUUCUUGUGUCUCUGUAAGAGUACAGACAACUUUUCCAGAAACCUUCCACUGGGCUUCCCCCGUAACAUUCACUAGCCAGAAUGGUCUCACAUGCCUAAGCCUUAACCAGUCACUGCAAGGAAUUGAAAGCACCAUGACUGGUUCAGCCCAAACAGGAUUCAGCAUCCCUUAAAGGUUAAAGGCACAGAGGAUGAAGGUAGAGACCUGCCAAAAAGGAGGAAGGGAAGGCGGAGGAUGAAAAGAAGACAACAAACGUUCCCUGAUGCAGGUGUGAAGGAAGAUCUGAUGCCCAAUCACUUAUUCCUCAGUCCUUUGGCCUUUACCAUGUGGGCAACAAAUGUCUGUGGAACUAAAUUAUAGUAGAGAAAUUCAUGUCUCCAAAUGCCCAGUCCAGAAUUCUUACCAUCAUACUCUGUAACCAGGACUGAAAUAUGUGUUGGCGACUGCUCUAAAAUUUACUAAAUUGAUUCACCGGUGCUCCAACCUUUAGAUUCGAGUCUUUAACACUAGUGUCUGCAGGAACCUUUGCAAAGCAGGUCCAAAAGAGAGCUAGGUGGAAUAAAGAGAAUCGUAAAAAUGUGUCUCAUCACAAUUUACAAGGUUCUUGUCAACCAUGACUUUCUUUCCAGAAACACAAUGUGUUCUUAAAAGUGGGACUUGUUCAAGCAGAUAGGUUCAUUGCAUUCAAAGACUACUCUAUUUCCUGACCUCCUUCUAGCUCUCCAGUAGGAUUUAUCUGGAACCAGGCAUCAAUAUACCCACCCUUGACAGCCAAGAAUGUGAGAAUGAGAUCAGUUAAGCAAUUUUUGGAAGACCCAGAUCAUAGUCAAAUAGAGAUACCAAGAAAAGGAAACUGAUCCUCAAGCAGAAACAUAAUGUACCCUAGGGUAGAAAAGACGGGAAGGAGGGAAUGGCUUAGUUCAGGCUUACUAUAACAGAGCGCCAUUGGCUGGGGUAGUUUAAACAACAAACAUUUGAGCGGGCGCAGGGGAUCACACCUGUAAUCCCAGCACUCUGAGAGGCCAAGGCGGGGGGAUCAUUUGAGGCCAGGAGUUUGAGACCUGCCUGGCCAACAUGGAGAAACCCCAUCUCUACCAAAAAUAAAACUAAAAAUAAAAAAAAUUAGCCGGACGUAAUUGUGGUGGCACACACCUGUAAUCCCAGCUACUCGAGAGGCUGAGGCAAGAAAAUUGGCUGAGGCAAGAAAAUCAGUGUAGGUUGCAGUGAGCCGAGAUUGUGCCACUGUACUCCAGCCUGGGUGAUAGAGCAAGACUCUGCCUCAAAAAAAAAUAUAUAGAUAGAUACAUAGAUAGAUAGAUGAU
rnacentral:lncRNA from 10 species